UACGUAGGGGGCUAGCGUUGUCCGGAAUCAUUGGGCGUAAAGCGCGUGUAGGCGGUCCGGUAAGUCCGCUGUGAAAGUCGGGGGCUCAACCCUCAGAGGCCGAUCGAUACUGUCGGGCUAGAGUCCGGAAGAGGCGAGUGGAAUUCCUGGUGUAGCGGUGAAAUGCGCAGAUAUCAGGAGGAACACCAAUGGCGAAGGCAGCUCGCUGGGACGGUACUGACGCUGAGGCGCGAAAGCGUGGGGAGCAAACAGG
rnacentral:rRNA from 1 species